GACGGGGGAUGCAAGUGUUAUCCGGAAUCACUGGGCGUAAAGCGCCUGCAGGUGGUUUCCUAAGUCCACUGUUAAACCUUGAGGCUCAACCUCAAAUCUGCAUUGGAAACUAGGAGACUUGAGUAUAGUAGGGGUAGAGGGAAUUUCCAGUGGAGCGGUGAAAUGCGUAGAUAUUGGAAAGAACACCGAUGGCGAAGGCACUCUACUGGGCUAUUACUGACACUCAGAGACGAAAGCUAGGGGAGCAAAUGGG
rnacentral:rRNA from 1 species